UAAUAGCUCACUAGUCUAAAUAAGUUUUCUUGCGCCAACAAUGUAACGGGGCUCAAGUCAUGUACCGAAGAUGCGGAUUUAUGCAUUUGGCAUAAAUGGUAGCGGAGCGUUCCGUAAGCCUGUGAAGGUAAACCGUAAGGUUUGCUGGAGGUAUCGGAAGUGAGAAUGCUGACAUAAGUAGCGAUAAAGAAUGUGAGAAACAUUCUCGCCGAAAGUCCAAGGGUUCUUGCGUAAAGUUAAUCUGCACAAGGUUAGUCGGCUCCUAAGAUGAGGCUGAAAGGCGUAAUCGAUGGGAAUCAGGUUAAUAUUCCUGAACCUGAAGGAUGUGACGAAAAUAGUAAAUUGUACAGUCUUAUUGGAUUGAUUGUGCAGUGAAUAUUUUCCAGGAAA
rnacentral:rRNA from 13 species